CUGAACCCAUGUAUGUGGACACCGUCACACACAGGUGUCAGGAGCAAGCUAGGUAGCUGUCUUCCAGAAACAAGCGCUGUAACAUGAAGAUAUGGCCGUGUGGGAACACUAACCCUAUAAAAAGAAACAUUGCUCGGAUCUUGUCCCCUGGACCUUGGAGGACUUUGAUCAGGGCCUACCAAAGCAAGGUUUCUCAAACAACUGUGGGGUGUUUGUUUUGAUGAGCUGAAUGCUGAUGUGACAUGCUGUGUCUUCUACAUCCUGAAAUAUAUUCCUGGAGGGGAGUUUUAUUAGUUAUAAUAACUAAUAUAACUAUCAAACUUAACUUACAGUAUGCUCUGUACAUUGCUAUGGAAGCACAGUGUGAUUUCACUGAGGAAAACAUGCAGCAAAUUCGGCGACGGUGGUGCCUAGUUUUCCUGCAGAACCACGCCGAUGAUGUAGAUGUCCCCCUAGGAGGUCACAUCAGCAUCCAGCUCUGCAGGACCAGACGAUACUGAAAACAUGCGCUGUGAACUGGGAAGCAGAUGUUCUUCUAAGGGACACCCUCGAGUCAGCAAGGUGGUGCGAACGCCAAACAUUUAAAGGCACUGUUUCCCUCCCUAGUGUAAUUGGGAUGGAUGGGGAAGACCGCAUUACAACCCUUAAAGAACUACAGUUGUAUGAUGGCCUGGAUGAAGAGGAAAAUAUUCUCCUCAAGGAACCAGUCAUGUUACAGAGAGAUUGAGAUGUUCUAUGUGGAGGCAGUUGACAACAAGAAAAUGACUGCCUUUGCCUCUUCUGAGGAGCAGGAGUGAAGACAUUUUUGAGGAGUGGUCAAACCUUGUUUUUGUCUGCUGUGUAAAUUGUGUUAUGUUGUUUAGUAAAGAUGACGUAGAAGUCACCCGAGUCUCUGAUCUCUUUACUGGAGCUGGUAUAACUUAAUGUACAAAGCACAUUCAGCUUGUCAGUAUGUCUAUAUGGUAUAGUCU